AUAGAACUUUUUCAGGAGCAAAGGGCAAGAAAAUGUUUUUAAAAAGGGGAAUAAUCCUAGCAAAAUAGUUUUAUAGAUUUUUUUUUGGAAAGCCAUGCCAUUUUCUCCCCUCCUUAUUACUAGUUGGUAAUGUGCAAAACAAUGCUAUCUCAAAAAUAAGAAAAUAGUGAAAGAGAACAUAUGCCCCUGUUGUGGGUUAAAUAGGGACUCCCAGAGGAUAUGUCCUUUCAGGACCUCAGAUGUAAUUAAAGUAGGGAUCUUGAGGUGAGAUCAUCCUGGAGGAGGGUGGGCCCUAAAUCCAAAGAUUAACGUGUUUAUGAAAGACUGAGACAAAGAGAAGAAGGCCCUGUAAAGCUGAGCACAGAUUGGAGUUUUGUAGCUGUGAGCCAAGGAAAGCCAGGAGAAGCAAGGAAGGAUGAGUCUCUAGAGCCUGCAGAGGGAGCACAGCCCUGCCAACACCUGGAUUUCUGAAGUCUGCCCUACAAACUGUGAUGAGAGAUCUUUUUAAAGGCAAAGACAGCAAUUUCCUGGGGAUCUAUGAGUACACUGUUCAACUACAGUACAGGUUCUGGCUCUCUCGCUCAAGCUGGAGUGCAAUGAUGCAAUCUCGGCUCACUGCAACUUCUACCUCCCAGGCUCAAACCAUCCUCCCACCUCAGUUUCCCAAGUAGCUGGAUUCUCUUGGCUCUUUUUGUUUCUAUUGCUGAUUAAUGUUCUAUUCCCUAACUCACUAGAUGGGGCUUUACUAUGUUGCCCAGGUUGCUCUCGAAUUCCCGUGCUCAAGCAAUCCUCCCACCUUGGCCUCCCAAAUUGCUGGGAUUCUAAGCAUAAGCCACCACACCCGGCCCAGGUAAGUACUUUGGAUAUGAGUAGGGGUGUUUUGUUGUUGCUUUUGCCCUUUUCUUGGUCAACAUCUAAUAACAGAGAACAGUAUUUCCAUAUUUCAAAUAUAGGGCUGUUUCCAAUGUAGUAGCUGACUCUAAUGUUUAAAAUCCGGAUAGGUUUCUAAUUUCCUGCUUGAGUUUGCCCACAGUGCAUAAAUGGAUGCAGUAGUGCAAAAAUGAUUUCAUUUUAGAAGCCAAGCUCUCAUCUCUUUUGGAACCUAGUCAGUGAUGAUGGAAGACUUAACCAAGCGUCUUUAGAGAGUGUUCCAUUUAUUAGCUUCAUUAAUAACAAUAACAGGCAAAACCCAUCCCAGCUGAAGGAAGAAUGCCCCUAUAGUAUGUAAACACACGACUGAGAAUGUUCAUCAAUUACAUUUCUUGUUGGAUUUGAGACUGAACAGAAAUCUAAAUUAUUACUCAUGUUACUCAUUACAUUUCUGUUUUUCCUAUUGGAGUUCCCAAUAGGAAACGUUGACCUUGUCAAGGUGUCUUUGAGAAUUCUAAUGUACAGGCUCAUUUUCAUUUUGCUAACUGGGAGAGCACUCUGAAUAGUGCACCAAGAAAUAUAUCUUUCACUCGUUCCACUUUUCCCCCUUGACCUCUGCCUUGGUCUCCUCCAGGCCCUCAGCAGGCCUCUGCAUGAAUUCGAUUUGGUCUCCUGGCUUUCAGAAUCUCCUCAUUCCAAUGAUCACAUCCUCUACUGACAAGUAUUCAUCUCUCUACUCAAAAACACAUCAGUGGCCACCAAAUACAGUUCCGCUUUGCCUGACAUGCAAGGCCAUUUACAAUUUGGUUCCAAUCUGUCUUCUCAGCCUUCUCUUACCUUCAUCUAACCCAAGGUCCCAUCUGACCUGAAUGCUAGUUAUGAUCACCCUUCCCCAUCUGGCCUGUAGUCAUGCUGAUCUCUCCGCUCUAGGGAAACUAGCCACCAACUUCUACAUAUCUCAAUGCUAACUUCAAGUUGGAAGUCGUUUUUUUCUGUGUUCUCCAUUCCCAAAGCAUUGUGGUUGGAGGGCUCCCAAGCUUUUUUUUCACAUUUUGUGUUACGUUUAUUUCAAUAAAGAUAUUAUCUUCUCCCCCUCCCUUCCUCAGACUUCAAACCCUUUGAGAUUAGAGGAUGAGUCACAUUCCCUUAUAAAUUCAAGCACAGGGCCUCUCACAUAACAGGAACUUAGUGUGUUUGAAUAAGUGAAUGAAUGAAUGAAUGACAAAAUAAGAGAACCAAAAUUAUCUCUUCUAUAUCACACUAUUUUCCCACUUCAUUCCUACCCCAAUAAUAUGACAGGAACAUGAGCCAUUUAAGCAGUUUAAUUAUCUAAUCCAAAAUGUGGGCUCUGAAGAUCAGAGUGAGUCUACAUAGAACAGCUGAGGUGUCAAAACACAUUAAAAAUAAUAAUGCAAAAAUAACCAGGUGUAAUCUAAGCUGAGUAUUUUCUCUGGCACCUCUUCACUAACAUUUAAUUUAGAAUUGUGUUCUAUAAUUAUCGUAUGUGUUUAAGGGUCCUAUUUUCUGCUGAUUCUUAACUAGAUACAAUACAUACAGCUUUCAGAGAUUGAAAAUAUUAGUAUAAAGAGAACUAAUGCUUUUAUUUUAAUUGAUUAAAUGUAAUCAAAGUACAUAUUAUUUGACACUAGUUUCUGUCAAGUAUUCAGUACUUGAAAAUGUUGAAUCAUCGGUUUGAGACCCAUAAUUCUGACUGUACCACAGACAGUGGAGAAUGUGGAGUGUAGUUUUUCCACUGGGUGACAGGAGGGAGACCGAUCCUCCAGGACUUCUAUCAGCAACACCUUGUUUUGGGUACUGUGGGUGAUAUGAAGAAGUUCUAACAAAUAGAAUGUGUGGAAGUGGUGCUCAGAGACCUUCAAGUGUAAUAGAAAGGGGAGCUUCCUCCAGAUGCUGCCUUGGGUCACUCACUCUGUAGGAAGCCAGCGAACACAACACCAGUACAUUCAAAACCCCAAGGAGAGGCCCACAAGGAGACAAAGGCCUCUCACCAAUAAGCCAGGUGUGUGAGUGAGCUGCCUUUUCUCUCUUCUUCUACUUAGCUUUUUAAAUGUACACACUGCUCUCUUGUUGGUGCAUAGCUAUUCAGAUUUUGACAAAACCAUAAAACCAGGUUGCCACCACCAUGAUCCAAGUAUAAUUUCCAUUAUGCUUCCAAUACCCCAUUAUCAUCCAUCUGUCCUGCCCUCUGCAAUGCCUGGCAACCACUAACCUAUUACCCAGAAUGCAAUGAGCUGGCUUUAGGAGUAGACCCUCCAGCCUCGUUCAAGCUUUCAGAUGACAGCAGCCCUGGUUGAUGUCUCUGUUACAAUAUUAUGAAGAACCUCAAGGCAGAAUCACUGAGCCAAGCCACUCCCAAAUCCCCUCAUGGAAACUGUGAGAGAUGAGAAGUGUCAUUUGUCGUUGUAAGCCACUAAGUUUGGAGGUAAUGAUUGCACAGCAAUAGUUGCAUUGGUUACCUUAUAAAUCUUUUUUAAAAUAAUUAUUGCUAUUGAUAUUUACCUAGAAUGUCUUUCCUUUGAUUGGUCUUGGAGCAGACCCACAGCCUGAGUGCCCAUGCACAGGUAACUUGGGUACCUGAAGGUAGAAAAGUGUCACCACAUUGACAUGACUAAGAUGUCCACUGCCUGAGAUGUGGACAAAGGCCAUGCCAAGGUUAAGUGGAAGAAAAUAUGAAGCAGUUAAUCCUCUGUCACUUGAAAGCUCACAGCAGAAAUAAUUCAAAACGUAAAGCCCUAGCCAGGCGUGGUGGUGGGCACCUGUAAUUCCAACUACUCAGGAGUCUGAGGCAGGAGAAUCACUUGAACCUGAGAGGUGGAGGUUGCAGUGAGCUGAGAUUGCGCCACUGCACUCCAGGCUGGGUGACAGAGCAAGACUGUCUCAAAAAAACAAACAACAACAAAAAAACACACACACAAAAAAAACAAAAAAUGUAAAGCCUCUCAACCACCAGGUUCUGCUUAUCUUGUGGCAAAUCUGUUUCUCUGUCGCACAUACUACUUUCAUGAUUUGAAGUCCUAGAUAAGCUGCCUGCAUCCUCUUGCAAUCCAUCCCCAUUUCCACACAGAGAGGCAGCAGCUGCAUUACAGGGGGAGCUAUUGUACAUUCUAGGGGCCUCUCCAGCAGUAUGUCUUCUCUUUCUAGAACUUUGCCUCUCUCACCCAGGCCCCCAUGAAUAGUGACUACAGUUCUUUGCAUGGCUAUGUUCACUCCAGCUGAGAUGAAGUCAUGAAUGUGGGGGAAAGUCCUUUGUUAAAGGUACAUAAUGCGUGUUGCAAAUAAUCCAUUCCCAGAAAACUCAGAGUUGGCUGUGCUUAUUCUAUACUUCAGUUCAAAGCAAGUUUUCUACACAAAAAAUAUUCAAGUCUCCCAAACUCAACUGUUUAAACAAAAGAGUUAAUUACUCAGGAUUCUGGGUGGUCAAUGAUGAAUCACCAGAAAUUGUGACACCCUCAGUGAGGAGCCAUGGGUCUACCCUGAACUUAGAAGGGGACAGUCACUUCACGUCUCUGGGCCUCAGAAUCAUUCUCUGUAAAAAGAAGGGAUAUAAUUCAAUGAUAUUGACUGUCUUUUCCAGCACAGCUCAGCUUACGGUUCUUGGAAACAUUAUUAAAUUUUUUAAUGAAUUCUUUUGUUCUGUGUCUUCAGAUGAGAAUUACAAUAGAAUAGUCUCGUUUCCUCUGCAACAAUAAAAUAACUGUGCAUUUUUCCAUCCUAAAGUAUUUAAAAGAAUAAAUGAUAAAGGUCUGCAAAAUGAAUAUUCUAUCUUAACCUAGCCAUAAUUUUAUAAUUUACAUUGCCACUGUUUCUAAGUAAGAAACUGCCUUCUAUCUGUGUUUUAUACUGGCAAGAAGAAUUUAAUCUAUAAAGAAAACCUCUAAAGUACUUUCAGACCAUCGAAAUUUAUAAUUCCAUAACUCAAUAACUUCCUUUGUUUUCUACAUUACAUUACAUAUUCAGGAAGAUAAGACUUUUUUCUUAUUAAUUUAAAACUUGGAAGUAGAGACAGGUAUCAUCUUUUUCUGGAACAAAUAACACUAGAGUUGAGUCAGCAAUCAAGUUAUGCAUAUUCAUAACCAUCUAGGCCAACCUCAUUUAUAAUUCUUUGUUAAUCUAUAAAAAUAAUUUUAUUUUUAAAAAUUUGAUUUGCUACUUGAAGCAAAGGCAAGAAUAACACAAUUUCACAGGGUUCCCAAUGAUUAAUGUGAAAAUUAAAAAAAUACAAAAGGAGGAAAUUAUUUGCACUAUUAAAGUAUAUACUAAUAACAAGUAGAAAGUUAUGUGGAAGUCACAGGAAUCAAGGCCAAUGAACAAAAUUCAAUUUCAUUUUCUAUAUAUCAGCAACACAUAAAAAUAAAACACACAAAAUAAAGUUUCAAAACUACAAUACAAUGUAUACUAGGGUUAAACAACACAAAAUUUAGUUGACUUUCAAACGACACAAGUUUGAACCGCAUGGGUCUA
rnacentral:lncRNA from 10 species